CCUCGUGGAUUUCGGGUUGCUUUGCGCCUCCCGGGAAACCCUACCCGGGCGCCGCGAGCAGCCUGGCGGCGCGGGCGGCUGCGAGCUUCCCGCUCGGCCACUAGGCGCCCAGCCGGGCCCAGGGCGCUCGGCCAGCAAAGCCCGGCAGCAGAGCCGUGCGCCUAGGGCGCGGUGCGCGCCAAGCCACCCUGCGGUGGCGCUCUUCCCUCCCGGGAAGGGCGGCGUUAGCUCGCUUUAAAAUAACCCUGAGUGAGGAGCACUUUGCAGUUUGGAGAUGCAGACAUAAAACAGUGGGUUCCGCGCGCACAGACGGUCUCUCUGCCUCCCCUCUCGCCCCCGGUGGGUAGCAGGGGAGUAACAAAGACGCUGCCGCGCCGCUGACGCCGAACAAUCUCUGAUGCAGGAAGAGGCUUCCCUCUGUCCCCAGAACUUCAACACAGCCCAAGAUGCUGGAACCCAGCCCUGGACGCUAGUCCUUCUCCUGUUCAGAUCCUGAUCGGGUGCCCUUCACUGAAAACCCGUGGAGGAAGGUUUGGGCCUGGACACGAAGUCCCUAAUGAAUUUGGAACCAUGCUAGGGACAGAAAUCUCCGACUGAAUUGCACAGGUAGAGGCUGGUGACUAUCUUUUUUUUCAGUGGCACCUACUUUUACCGUCGGUGUUUUGUCAGGCCAGCAGCGCCCCAGGGAGUAAGGAAGAGGGCAGCCCCAGAUGUGGACCUCCUCACCCGCCCUGGCUGGAUUUUACGAGACUGCCUUCACCAACGUUCCAGCCAAGGACUGCCUGUGCUCGCCUUUCAUACUUCACAGCAGGUGCCCUGAGUGGGGGAAUGGAAUGGUGGUUUGGAAUGUGGGUGCUGGCCCAGGCAACCUUCCCGGAUAAAAAAGGGUUAAAUACUCCCAACCGAGGCGGAGAGAGGCACCCCAGCACGCGAGGGGCACGCCCGCUUUUCGGUCAGGCAGAAAAUGAUGAUCACAGAAUAAGAAAUGUUUAAAUUCACUCGCAACCCAGAAGAGGCUUCCCCAGGAACUUAGACAUGACGUGUUGGGCAAGAGGGAGAAAGUGGCAAAAAGAACCUUGCCUUGCCGGAGGUUGGGCCUCCUGGCGGCUCCCAGCCCUGCCGGGGGAGCCCGAAGGCGUGAGGAGAAUGGCUGUCUUCAGCUCCAAACCAUUAAUAUUAAGACACAUCAGCCUCGCAUUAGUCUGCAGCAGACCAUCAACGACCAAGAACAAACACAAAAGAGAAAUAAAAUAGUUCAUCCGAAGAGUCCUACUGUGAAUGUGUUUAUUUCUUGCUUUACUCAGCCCAGGAUAUAAUUUACUCACUGCCCUCUUGCAAACAAAAGCGCGGCACUGGCCUGGCAAGGUUGAUGAGCCCUUUUCAAAACACCCAAGGAAAUUAAAACUGGGCACGAAUUCAGGGUCCAUUUUAUAUAGAGCCUGUAGCGCCAAUGCGUGCAGUUCUUAACCCCAGAUGAACACGUGACGACGCCAAGAUAUUUCUAUUUGAAAAGGAAGAAGAAGAGGAAAAAGAAGAAGAGGAGGAGGAGGAGGAGGAGGAGGAGGAGGAGGAGGAGGAGGAGGAGGAGGAAGGAGAAGAAGAAGGAGGAGGAGGAGAAAUCUGAUUCCCAGGGAGUAACAGUAACACUCAUAUGCAUUAUUUAUCCGCCUCUUGCUUAAUACUGGCAAGUUACGCACGUUAUCUCAUUUAAUAAAGCAACACUCCAUAUUAUAUAUAAUAUAGCAACGUUGGUUA